UGUCGCGGGUUUAUAUACCCUUUGGGCACUUAACCGACUGUGCCAGCCCAGUCCCAUACCUGUCAAGAAAAUUCAUUGUCUUACAUCGUCCUUAAAUUUUAUUCGUGUUAUAGUCAAUAUAUACAUAUUUUUACCUAAUAUACAUCCGCUUUCUAGGUUUCUACUUAGCGCUGCUGAGACUGAGUCUAAAUGAAAAAACAUUAUCAAUGGAUUCUAACAAUAAAUCAUAUUUUAGAUUUUUAAAGAAAAAAACCCAGCUUGCUCCACAGAACCAGAUAUCAGAGGCAGGAAUGCCACAGUUACAUUCCUAGGACUUGGUCAAUGAGAAGACAGAUUCCAAAAAUACAGUGCUGGGAAGUUGGAAAAAAGCCACAGAUGACGCUUCCAGUCAAGACAACCUGUGGCAACUGAGCUGAUUUCUGUAGGUAGAAGGCUAUAAUGACCCAAUGGGCCACCAGUUUGAUAUUUGAUUCUGAACAAUUUAUUCACCAAGAAUGGCUGCCUGAAUGAGAGGCACAAAACCAUUAUCCUUUUGGCUGCAAUGGAAUGAGAGUCCUGUUGAGAAAAUGGAAGUGGUACCCAGAGUGAAAAGAGAUUAGAACAAGAUAGACUGAACACAUAUGCCUACCUCUCCAAAUCCUUUCAAUUAACAG
rnacentral:lncRNA from 1 species